UACGUAGGGGGCCAGCGUUGUCCGGAAUCAUUGGGCGUAAAGCGCGCGUAGGCGGUCAGGUAAGUCCGGUGUGAAAGUCAAAGGCUCAACCUUUGAAUGCCGCUGGAAACUGCCUGACUUGAGUCCGGUAGGGGCGAGUGGAAUUCCUGGUGUAGCGGUGAAGUGCGCAGAUAUCAGGAGGAACACCAAUGGCGAAGGCAGCUCGCUGGAACGGUACUGACGCUGAGGCGCGAAAGCGUGGGGAGCGAACAGG
rnacentral:rRNA from 1 species